rnacentral:rRNA from 1 species
UACGAAGGGGCUAGCGUUGCUCGGAAUGACUGGGCGUAAAGGCGCGUAGGCGGAUUGUACAGUCAGGCGUGAAAUUCCCGGGCUCAACCUGGGGCUGCGCUUGAGACGUGCGAUCUUGAGUGGGGAAGAGGGUCGUGGAAUUCCCAGUGUAGAGGUGAAAUUCGUAGAUAUUGGGAAGAACACCGGUGGCGAAGGCGGCGACCUGGUCCUUGACUGACGCUGAGGCGCGAAGCGUGGGGAGCAAACAGGAUUAG